ACCGGGCUGGGGCUGGUGUACAUCUUCUACUUCCUUCUCGGCUGGGCGCCCUCUCCGCUGGGGCGCCUCGACUCCCUGUUCCCGACGCCGCCGCGGGUCACCGGGCUCUUGCUCAUCGACACCCUCGUGGCCGGAGACGGGGAGGUGUUCCGGGCCGCGCUGAAGCAGCUCGCGCUCCCGGCCAUCACGAUGGCGCUCUUCGUGCUGGCGCCGCUCGCCCGCAUGACGCGCGCGUCCAUGCUGAGCGUGCUGAGCAGCGAUUUCAUCCGCACCGCCCGGGCCAGCGGGCUAUCGCGGGGGACCAUCCUCUACACCUACGGGUUUCGCAAUGCCAUGCUCCCCGUGUUGACCACGCUGGGCAUGGUCUUUUCCUUCAUGCUCGGGGCCAAUGUCCUCGUGG
rnacentral:misc_RNA from 1 species